UGCGUAGGCGGCGGCAUAAGUCAGAAGUGAAAGUUGGCAGCUUAACUGCAAAAUUGCUUUUGAUACUGUGUUGCUUGAAUCACGUUGAGGCUGGCGGAAUGUGGCAUGUAGCGGUGAAACGCUUAGAUAUGCCAUAGAACACCAAUUGCGAAGGCAGCUGGCUAGACGUGUAUUGACGCUGAGGCACGAAAGCGUGGGGAGCGAACAGGAUUAGAUACCCUGGUAGUCC
rnacentral:rRNA from 1 species